rnacentral:rRNA from 1 species
ACGGAAGGCAGCAGUGGGGAAUAUUGGGCAAUGGGCGCAAGCCUGACCCAGCAACGCCGCGUGAAGGAAGAAGGCUUUCGGGUUGUAAACUUCUUUUGUGAGGGACGAGCAGAAGACGGUACCUCAUGAAUAAGCCACGGCUAACUACGUGCCAGCAGCCGCGGUAAUACGUAGGGGGCGAGCGUUGUCCGGAAUUACUGGGUGUAAAGGGAGUGUAGGCGGGACUGUAAGUCAGAUGUGAAAUAUACCGGCUCAACUGGUAGACUGCAUUUGAAACUGCGGUUCUUGAGUGAAGUAGAGGUAAGCGGAAUUCCUAGUGUAGCGGUGAAAUGCGUAGAUAUUAGGAGGAACAUCAGUGGCGAAGGCGGCUUACUGGGCUUUAACUGACGCUGAGGCUCGAAAGCGUGGGGAGCAAACAGGAUUAGAUACCCUGGUA